CCAACACAAGGUGUUACAAACAGAGUAUGUCUGCAUCUACUGCCUCUGAUUGGCUCCCUGUAUCCUCCUCCAUCGCCACCAUCUCAACCAGUUUCUCUCUCUGGAGUCUGGACAGGCAGCCUUAAAGAGGCACCGCAUCAAAGCCGUCUCUCUUAACACUUUAACAAAAACAACAACAACAACAAAAAAACUGAUUUGUGUGGGGAAAUACAUGAACUAUAUUUAUAGUACUUUUUGAGUGUCUCUUUGGACAUUACCCGAAAGCGAAGAGGAAAUUUUAGUUUAUGGUGUCAGUCUUGGCAGAUGGCAUACUUAGACUGAGACACUUACACUGCAGGAGGUUUCUUCCUGUUUAAAAGGCAGUUUUCAGUUCCCCUGUCACCACAUAUAGUCACAGCAUGAGGGAUCGCUCCAAAGUAUCACCUCCGGAGGAGGGUUUACUGCAAAAUCUGUUUUCUAUUAGUUAUUCCCAGAAAUUAAUUCCCACCCAGCUGUCUCUCUUUUACCUCAAGCGUAAUAUUUGCAGUAGUUCAUGCAGCCUGCUGACGCCAGGUCUGCUGGUGCUCGCAAAGGAAAACUGUGGAGGAAAGUGUUAUUGAAAAAAAGAACAUUCUGACUAGUAUGAAGUUGCUCUUGACAUUUACGUUUCAAUCAAUCUUCAGACAAUUUUUAAAAAAAACAAAAUUGCUUUCUGUUUUAACAGGAAUGCAGAUUGGAUUUGCAGAGGAGACUGUUUGCCUGUGAAAGUGAAAACUACAGGACUUAGUUUGUGCUAACGAGAGAAGCGCUCCCCGUCAAACUUUAUUUUUCUUUUACAACAUGAUUUUAUACAUGUUAUUAUUUUAACCAUGAUAGAUCUGAAAUCUGUUUCACAAGAAAGACCUGGCAAAGAUGGCGUCUUGAGACAUGGAAAGAGAUAGAUUUAAUUCACCAAGUUGACUGUGCAUUUGUUUUUAUGUAUUUCUUUUUAUAUACAACAGAUGCUAAACAAUAACAAAAUGUAUAUCAAAACUGAAAUUUAAGAAGUCACAGAGGCUUCAUAGCUGGCAGACCAGCUAUGAAGGUGUAUUACUGCCACCUACUGACCUGGAGGGUGGGCAGGAGAUAAACAGGAAAAAAAACAAAAAACAAAGGCUGUUAAAUAAACUCAAUAAUUCAACUAAAUUCUUUCUAUUCUUUUAUUUUUAUUUUUUUUACAUUAAUUUGAUAUUUUCCUUUACUGGCAUCACUUCUGAAAAUGUUAAAACCGAGUCUCAUUGAGCCCUGGGUGACCUUUCUGAAGAGAGAGCCAAUUAAAGUUAAUGAGCUACAGCUGUGCCACAGGGAUUGGCCUUUAUAAGCCUCACAUGGUUACACCUGUAGCUUGUGGCAGGAACCAUGGCGUGUGUUUGUGUUCUUCUCUUUUGUGUGGUGGCAUUUAUGUGGCUUGACAAAGGAUUAUGUUUGCCAAUUGCUUCUGGAGAAGAGGGUCACAGGAUUAACAUCUUGAUGUCUCAACGUGAGAUUUCUAUGAAGACACUAACUGCCUUUCUGACGUCGAUGGAUUCCGUUUUACCACAGGGUGAAAAAGUGCAACUGGAAACAGCCAAGAGUGGAUUAAUUCCCUGUGAAGUAAAUAGCGCCGCCGCCGCCGCCCACCACAACGUGUCAAGCGACGCCGCCGCCGCCCACCA